rnacentral:rRNA from 1 species
GAAAAGAAACCAACAGGGAUUGCCUCAGUAGCGGCGAGUGAAGCGGCAAGAGCUCAGAUUUGAAAUCUCACCUAGUGUGCGAGUUGUAAAUUGCAGGUUGGAGUCUCGGGUUAGACGUGUGUGCAAGUCCCUUGGAACAGGGCGCCACUGAGGGUGAGAGCCCCGUAUCGUGCAUGUCGACACCUGUGAGGCCCUUCUGACGAGUCGAGUUGUUUGGGAAUGCAGCUCUAAGUGGGUGGUAAAUUCCAUCUAAGGCUAAAUAUUGGCGAGAGACCGAUAGCGAACAAGUACUGUGAAGGAAAGAUGAAAAGCACUUUGAAAAGAGAGUGAAACAGCACGUGAAAUUGUUGAAAGGGAAGGGUAUUGGGCUCGACAUGGGAUUUACGCAUCGUUGCCUCUCGUGGGCGGCGCUCUGGGUUUUUCCUGGGCCAGCAUCGGUUUUCGUUGCAGGAUAAGGACAAUUGGAAUGUGGCUCCUCGGAGUGUUAUAGCCUUUUGUAGAUGCUGCGUAUGGGGACCGAGGGCUGCGGCGGACUCGUUUCGUCUCGGAUGCUGGCACAACGGCGCAAUACCGCCCG